GCAGUCGUGGCCGAGUGGUUAAGGCGAUGGACUAGAAAUCCGUUGGGGACUCCCAGCACAGGUUCGACUCCUGUCUACUGCG
rnacentral:tRNA from 2 species